ACGCUCGACACCUACGGGAGGCAGCAGUCGGGAAUAUUGCGCAAUGGAGGAAACUCUGACGCAGUGACGCCGCGUGCAGGAAGAAGGUUUUCGGAUUGUAAACUGCUUUAGACAGGGAAGAACAAAUGACAGUACCUGUAGAAUAAGCUCCGGCUAACUACGUGCAAGCAGCCGCGGUAAUCUGAGCGGGCUGGCAAGGC
rnacentral:rRNA from 1 species